rfam:Mycobacterium sherrisii strain BC1_M4 PROKKA_contig000035, whole genome shotgun sequence.
GCGUAGCCAUAUGGGCCGCCCGGACGAGCUCGCCGUACCCGGACAGCGACAAGACGGCGAAUA